rnacentral:rRNA from 1 species
CAGCCGCCGCGGGAAUACGAAGGGUGCAAGCGUUAAUCGGAAUUACUGGGCGUAAAGCGUGCGUAGGCGGUUUGUUAAGUCUGCUGUGAAAUCCCCGGGCUCAACCUGGGAAUGGCAGUGGAUACUGGCAAGCUAGAGUGUGUCAGAGGAUGGUGGAAUUCCCGGUGUAGCGAUGAAAUGCGUAGAGAUCGGGAGGAACAUCAGUGGCGAAGGCGGCCAUCUGGGACAACACUGACGCUGAGGCACGAAAGCUUGGGGAGCAAACAGGAUUAGAUACCCCUGUAGUCCCUGUCUCUUAUAC